rnacentral:misc_RNA from 1 species
GAUGAAGAACGUAGCAAAAUGCGAUACUUGGUGUGAAUUGCAGAAUCCCGUGAACCAUCGAGUUUUUGAACGCAAGUUGCGCCCGAAGCCUUUUGGCCGAGGGCACGUCUGCCUGGGCGUCACGCAUCGCGUCGCCCCCCACAAUUCUCCGUAAAGGGAACAUGUGUUUUGGGGGCGGAUAUUGGUCUCCCGUGCUCAUGGCGUGGUUGGCCGAAAUAGGAGUCCCUUCGAUGGACGCACGAACUAGUGGUGGUCGUAAAAACCCUCGUCUUUUGUUUCGUGCUGUUGCUCGCAAGGUAAACUCUUUAAAAACCCCAAUGUGUCGUCUCUUGACGACGCUUCGACCGCGACCCCAGGUCAGGCGGGACUACCCGCUGAGUUUAAGCAUAUCAAUAAGCGGAGGA